ensembl:lncRNA
GUCGGGUUCAUACGUGCAUUGCUGGAUGCAUCAGUGCAGUGUCCUGGGAUCACUAAUAUUGGUCUGCCAAAGCUCUCAUACUGGUAUUGUUCUCUCAUACUGGUAUUGUUCUCUCAUACUGGUAUUGUUCUCUCAUACUGGUAUUGUUCUCUCAUACUGGUAUUGUUCUCUCAUACUGGUAUUGUGUUCUCAUACUGGUAUUGUGCUCUCAUACUGGUACUGUUCUCUCAUACUGGUAUUGUUCUCUCAUACUGGUAUUGUGCUCUCAUACUGGUAUUGUGCUCUCAUACUGAUAUUGUGCUCUCAUACUGGUGUUGUGCUCUCAUACUGGUAUUGUGUUCUCAUACUGGUAUUGUUCUCUCAUACUGGUAUUGUUCUCUCGUACUGGUAUUGUGCUCUCAUACUGGUAUUGUGUUCUCAUACUGGUAUUGUGUUCUCAUACUGGUAUUGUGCUCUCAUACUGGUAUUGUUCUCUUAUACUGGUAUUGUUCUCUCAUACUGAUAUUGUUCUAUCAUCUCAUACUGGUAUUGUUCUCUCAUACUGGUAUUGUGCUCUCAUACUGGUAUUGUGCUCUCAUACUGAUAUUGUUCUCUCAUCUCAUACUGGUAUUGUUCUCUCAUACUGGUAUUGUUCUCUCAUCUCAUACUGGUAUUGUUCUCUCAUCUCAUACUGGUAUUGUUCUCUCAUACUGGUAUUGUGCUCUCAUACUGGUAUUGUGCUCUCAUACUGAUAUUGUUCUCUCAUCUCAUACUGGUAUUGUUCUCUCAUACUGGUAUUGUGCUCUCAUACUGGUAUUGUGCUCUCAUACUGGUAUUGUUCUCUCAUACUGGUAUUGUUCUCUCAUACUGGUAUUGUGCUCUCAUACUGGUGUUGUGCUCUCAUACUGGUGUUGUGCUCUCAUUCUGGUGUUGUGCUCUCAUACUGGUAUUGUGCUCUCAUACUGGUAUUGUGCUCUCAUACUGAUAUUGUUCUCUCAUCUCUUACUGGUAUUGUUCUCUCAUACUGGUAUUGUUCUCUCAUACUGGUAUUGUUCUCUCAUACUGGUAUUGUGCUCUCAUACUGGUAUUGUGUUCUCAUACUGGUAUUGUGUUCUCAUACUGGUAUUGUGCUCUCAUACUGGUAUUGUUCUCUCAUACUGGUAUUGUUCUCUCAUACUGAUAUUGUUCUAUCAUCUCAUACUGGUAUUGUUCUCUCAUACUGGUAUUGUGCUCUCAUACUGGUAUUGUGCUCUCAUACUGAUAUUGUUCUCUCAUCUCAUACUGGUAUUGUUCUCUCAUACUGGUAUUGUGCUCUCAUACUGGUAUUGUGCUCUCAUACUGGUAUUGUUCUCUCAUACUGGUAUUGUUCUCUCAUACUGGUAUUGUUCUCUCAUGUUGGUAUUGUUCUCUCAUACUGGUAUCGUGCUCUCAUACUGGUAUCCUGCUCUCAUACUGGUAUUGUUCUUUCAUACUGGUAUUGUUCUCUCAUCUCAUACUGGUAUUGUUCUCUCAUACUGGCAUUGUUCUCUCAUACUGGUAUUGUUCUCUCAUCUCAUACUGGUAUUGUGUUCUCAUACUGGUAUUGUUCUCUCAUACUGGUAUUGUUCUCUCAUACUGUUAUUGUUCUCUCAUACUGGUAUUGUGCUCUCAUACUGGUAUUGUGCAUUCAAAAGGCUGCUAAGCCAUAUAUGACACCUGCCAUGUAUCAAAGAGCAGAGCCUUAUUUACAUACUAGUCCCUGGACACUGCCAGCCAAUGUGUGUGACCAAUGAGAGAGAUAGAGAGAGAGAGAGCUAUUUAAACAUCUUAGGCUAAGCAAGUAAAAUAUUAGCUACAGUUGAUAAUCUAACAGCAAGGAUAUUCUUAAAAUUGAAGGUAAUACUAGAGAGCAGAGAGAGCAGAGUGAGAGAGAGAGAGCAGAGUGAGAGAGAGAGAGAGAGAGAGAGAGCUGUCGGUCCCACCAUUUAUUUAUAUAUAUUUUAUAUAUAAAUAUUUUUAUUUUUAGAUAUGUAUAC